rnacentral:tRNA from 1 species
GGGGGCAUAGCUCAGUGGUAGAGCACAUGCUUAGCAUGUGCAAGGCCCUGGGUUCAAUCCCCAGCACCA